rnacentral:rRNA from 1 species
AACGAACGCUGGCGGCAUGCCAAACACAUGCAAGUCGAACGAGACCGUCGGUUCUAGAGGCGCACGCGUGCGUAACGCGUGGGAACCUGCCCUGAGGUUCGGAAUAACUCUCCGACAGGGGUGCUAAUAUCGGAUAAUGUGUUCGGACCAAAGUCUUAUCGCCUCUGUAUGGGCCCCCGUUGGCUUAGCUAGUUGGUAAGGUAAAAGCCUACCAAGGCGACGAUCCAUAGCUGGUCUGUGAGGAUGAUCAGCGACACUGGGACUGCGCCACGGCCCAGACUCCUACAGGAGGCAGCAGUGGGGAAUAUUGGACAAUGGGCGAAAGCCUGAUACAGCAAUGCCGCGUGAGUGAUGAAGGCCUUAGGGUUGUAAAGCUCUUUUACCCGGGAUGAUAAUGACAGUCCCGGGAGAAUAAGCCCCGGCUACCUCCGUG